rnacentral:rRNA from 1 species
CGGCGGACGGGUGAGUAACGCGUGGGUAACCUGCCUCAUACAGGGGGAUAACAGUUGGAAACGGCUGCUAAUACCGCAUAAGCGCACAGUACCGCAUGGUACCGUGUGAAAAACUCCGGUGGUAUGAGAUGGACCCGCGUCUGAUUAGCUAGUUGGUGGGGUAACGGCCUACCAAGGCGACGAUCAGUAGCCGACCUGAGAGAGUGACCGGCCACAUUGGGACUGAGACACGGCCCAA